rnacentral:rRNA from 1 species
AACGAACGCUGGCGGCGUGGAUAAGACAUGCAAGUCGCGCGGAACAUUGCUGGUAGCAAUAUUAGCAAUGUUUAGCGGCAAACGGGCGCGUAACACGUAGCUCACCUACCUUCGAGUGGGGGAGUAACUCCGAGAAAUCGGAAUUAAUACCGCAUGUGGUUGUAAGACCAAAGACCGGGGACCGGUAAGGCCUGGCGCUUGAAGAUGGGGCGUGCGGCCUAUCAGCUUGUGGUGGGGUGGAUGGCCUACCAAGGCGACGACGGGUAGCCGGCCUGAGAGGGCGGACCGGCCACACUGGGACUGAGACACGGCCC